rnacentral:misc_RNA from 1 species
AAGCCGUAGGCCUAUGAGAUGGUAUAAGGGCACAGUUGAAGAGAAUGAAAAGUUUGCGGGACACUUUUAUAAAUAUGGAAUAGUCCAAGGGGGUGUGAUGGGUGAGACAUACUGAUGUUUCCUCCUGCCAGAGGUCACUAUGCUCCAAAUGCUCUUUAGGGGGGUGAGACUAGUUGGCCACGGGUGAGCACGGUCGGGCACGAUCGGGCCCAGCUAGUCUCCGAAUCUGGUGUCAAGCUCUCCACCAUCCCCGGGG